rnacentral:rRNA from 1 species
GAGGGUUGAAAGCGUGGGGAGCGAACAGGAUUAGAUACCCUGGUAGUUCACGCCGUAAACGAUGAGUGCUAAGUGUUAGAGGGUUUUCGCCCCUUUAGUGCUGCAGCUAACGCAUUAAGCACUCCGCCUGGGGAGUACGGUCGCAAGAUUGAAACUCAAAGGAAUUGACGGGGGCCCGCACCAGCGGUGGAGCAUGUGGUUUAAUUUGAAGCAACGCGNAGAACCUUACCAGGUCUUGACAUCCUUUGACNCNUUCUAGAGAUAGGACGUCCCCUUUGGGGGCAGAGUGACAGGUGGUGCAUGGUUGUUGUCAGCUCGUGUUGUGAGAUGUUGGGUUAAGUCCCGCAACGAGCGCAACCCUUGAUUUUAGUUGCCAGCAUUCAGUUGGGCACUCUAAGGUGACUGCCGGUGACAAACCGGAGGAAGGUGGGGAUGACGUCAAAUCAUCAUGCCCCUUAUGACCUGGGGUACACACGUGCUACAAUGGGAAGAACAAAGGGCAGCGAAACCGCGAGGGUAAGCCAAUCCCACAAAUCUUUUUUCAGUUCGGAUUGCAGUCUGCAACUUGCCUGCGUGAAGCCGGAAUCGCUUGUAAUCGCGGAUCAGCAUGCCGCGGUGAAUACGUUCCCGGGCCUUGUACACACCGCCCGUCACAAC